rnacentral:rRNA from 1 species
CUUAGCUGAAUUUAUUAAAUAAAUUUUUCCUACUGAAAAAUCUUGAUUUUAUUUUAAAGUUGAUUUGGUUCCUUUUCUUUUCGAGUAGGUUUGUUUAAACUUUUUUUACGUUGUGAUAAAUUAGUCGUGAGAUUUUAUAUCCGUUUAAUGACCUAUUUUUUUUGUUUACCCUUGGGGCGAUGAUGUCCUAUGGGAGUAAAAUAUUUUCAUUUACUGUAAGCACGAAAGGGUUAAAAUUACCCUAACGUAGUAACUGUGUUAUAACUUGUUAGUACUUUGUUAAAAAUUUUUAUGAUUGUCAUUUAUUUAUAAUCUUUAGUGUGUCUCUAUGGUUGAAUAAGUAAUAUUAAUAUAUUCUUUGUAUCUCAGUGAUUGCCCGUCUGUUUAUUAAAAACAUUUCCACCCCAUAGCUUGGGUGGUAUUACCUGCUCUAUGCUUUAGUAAAUGGCCGCAGUAUUUUGACUGUGCGAAGGUAGCAUAAUUAAUUGCCUUAUAAUUGAAGGCUUGUUUGAAUGGUUUGACGAGGUGUUCCUUUACAUAGGUUAUAUAGUUGAAUUUAAUGUUAGGGGCACAGAAUCCCUUAUGAUUAAUUAGACGGAAAGACCCCGGGAUCUUUACUUUUUGUCUGGGGCAGAUCAUUUUAUUUCAAGAUUGAAUUAGACCCUUAAGGUGCAUUGGCUUAAGUUACCCCGGGGAUAACAGUGUAAUAGUUUAUUAGAGACCAUAUCGAAUUUACUGAUUGCCACCUCGAUGUUGACUUAGAUUUAGGUUUAGGCGCAGCAGCUUAUACCAUCGGUCUGUUCGACCAUAGUUUAUCUCCAUGAGUUGAGUU